GACGAACGCUGGCGGCGUGCUUAACACAUGCAAGUCGAACGAAGAGCGACGGAAGCUUGCUUCUAUCAAUCUUAGUGGCGAACGGGUGAGUAACGCGUAAUCAACCUGCCCUUCAGAGGGGGACAACAGUUGGAAACGACUGCUAAUACCGCAUACGAUCUAAUCUCGGCAUCGAGGAUGGAUGAAAGGUGGCCUCUACAUGUAAGCUAUCACUGAAGGAGGGGAUUGCGUCUGAUUAGCUAGUUGGAGGGGUAACGGCCCACCAAGGCGAUGAUCAGUAGCCGGUCUGAGAGGAUGAACGGCCACAUUGGGACUGAGACACGGCCCAGACUCCUACGGGAGGCAGCAGUGGGGAAUCUUCCGCCAUGGACGAAAGUCUGACGGAGCAACGCCGCGUGAGUGAUGACGGCCUUCGGGUUGUAAAGCUCUGUUAAUCGGGACGAAAGGCCUUCUUGCGAAUAGUGAGGAGGAUUGACGGUACCGGAAUAGAAAGCCACGGCUAACUACGUG
rnacentral:rRNA from 1 species